rnacentral:tRNA from 1 species
GCCGAAGUGGCGGAAAUGGUAGACGCAAGGGACUUAAAAUCCCUCGGUUCUUUGAACCGUGCCGGUUCGAUUCCGGCCUUCGGCACAA